rnacentral:rRNA from 1 species
GAUGAACGCUGGCGGCGUGCCUAAUACAUGCAAGUCGAGCGAACGGACGAGAAGCUUGCUUCUCUGAUGUUAGCGGCGGACGGGUGAGUAACACGUGGAUAACCUACCUAUAAGACUGGGAUAACUUCGGGAAACCGUAGCUAAUACCGGAUAAUAUUUUGAACCGCAUGGUUCAAAAGUGAAAGACGGUCUUGCUGUCACUUAUAGAUGGAUCCGCGCUGCAUUAGCUAGUUGGUAAGGUAACGGCUUACCAAGGCAACGAUGCAUAGCCGACCUGAGAGGGUGAUCGGCCACACUGGAACUGAGACACGGUCCAGACUCCUACGGGAGGCAGCAGUAGGGAAUCUUCCGCAAUGGGCGAAAGCCUGACGGAGCAACGCCGCGUGAGUGAUGAAGGUCUUCGGAUCGUAAAACUCUGUUAUUAGGGAAGAACAUAUGUGUAAGGAACUGUGCACAUCGUGACGGUACCUAAUCAGAAAGCCACGGCUAACUACGUG